CUCAACCACAAAGCAAGAUAAAACUCCAAAGCAGAAGGAAAAAAGAGAGUAGAUCGUGGAGCUCCCAUUAGGACAAAACAUCUCGAGUUACAGUCUAAGGUCAAUGGACUCAGUGCUUCUAAGCUGCACUGGCUCAGGGAUGGAGUUUGGAAACUCAUCACCCCAACCUGGGUAUUUUGUCUAUGGAGCAAGCCUCCUGUCUGCUUAAACAAGAAUGUUUUGGCAUCUGUCUAUUAUCUAUCAUGACAUGUGAGUAAAUACAACUGCACUUGCAAACAAGAUGGAGCAGAAUCUGAAAAGAUGUAUUCUUGGUGUCACAGGGAGCAACCUGAAAAAGAACAUAUGCGUUCAGGUGAAAAGCAAGUGACUGCCGUUACAGAAUGGUACUUUCAUUUGUUCCGGAAAACACUGUUUUGACAGUGAUGUCUCUUUCUCUAGUGAUGUCUCUAGGGUAAUUUCUGUCCUUUCUUUUUCUAUAUGGCAUAGCAAUGGCAUAUAGUAUCUCUGCUUUAUUUUCUUAUGGUCCAUCACUCCAUGCCCUAUUUUUUUUAAAUCACUGCAGCCUUCUGUGAGUCUUUUCCUGAUUUUUCCUAUACAGUUCCAGUCCAUCAAACUGACCCAUACAGUAAUACCAGAGAAACUCCAUUUUGUGUCCCUGGCUUCCAUUUUAAAUAAGCAAGCAUCACUCCACCUUUAAAUGGAGGCUAAAGGUCACAUAGCACUAAAAACCAAGUUGGCAAGAAAAGGUGAUAAACAGAUCAUAACACUGUGAGCUAUUUAGAAUAUAGGCUAAAGGUUACAUAGUAGAAUUGGUGGGGAAAAGAAGGUGGUAAACAAUUAUUGACAAAUAGAAAUAGUAGUCAAAUGGUAUUGUGUUGUCUAAAAAUAGAAUUGAAAUGGCAUAAAGGUCAGGGUGUCAGUUGACUGCUGACAGUUGAUACCUGACAGGCUGAGAAGAGGUUGAGAAAGCAGCUGAGCAGAGAGCUAAGAAGGCAGAGAAAGGUGUGAAGGUGGUGAGGAUGAGAUGAAGGAGAAGACCACGCAAGCAGAAUGACAAGAGAAAGAUGCAGUGGAGGAGUGAAGGAGAGAAAUAACAGGAGAAGAUAUUGUGCAAUCAGCUGAGGAAGUUUGUCAAAGUAAUAGUUAUAGUUAUAACAUAGUAUAGUAUGAUAAUGUAUAUAAGUGUGGGAGUGAUGGUUAAUAAAGAUCUAUGUAUGUGUGUUGGUUGUGAAAGGGAUUUAUAUAUGCAAAACCUAAUGAACAUCUCAACUACCUGUGAAUGACUGACCACCGUAAGCAGGGACCAGCCACUUAGCAUCAUUUCAAACUAUAAGGCAAUAUAGUUUGAACUACUUUAAAUUGUUAUAAGGAUUUGUGUUUAGAUUGUUAUUUUGUCAAGGAAUGUUAUUUGUAUCAAUAAAAGGCAUCUUAUUUUGGAAAGAAUGCUGCAUGUGUCAAUCAUUUACCAGAAGGCUGUAUCCGUGUCCUCCAAGUAUUCCC